AAGGUACUCUCCCCGUUCUAAAUUACUCGUCGCAGAAAUGGAUGUAUCUAGAACUGAAAUACAUCUAGAUACAUCCAUACCUGCGACAAGUAAUUUGAAACGAAGGAAGUACAUA
rfam:Triticum urartu cultivar G1812 contig521579, whole genome shotgun sequence.